UACGUAGGGGGCAAGCGUUGUCCGGAAUCAUUGGGCGUAAAGCGCGUGUAGGCGGCUUGGUAAGUCCGCUCUGAAAGCCCGGGGCUCAACCCCGGGAGGCGGGUGGAUACUGUCAAGCUCGAGUCCGGAAGAGGCGAGUGGAAUUCCUGGUGUAGCGGUGAAAUGCGCAGAUAAUCAGGAGGAACACCAAUGGCGAAGGCAGCUCGCUGGGACGUGACUGACGCUGAGACGCGAAAGCGUGGGGAGCAAACAGG
rnacentral:rRNA from 1 species